GCGGUAAUACGGAGGGUGCAAGCGUUAAUCGGAGUUACUGGGCGUAAAGCGCACGCAGGCGGUCUGUCAAGUCGGAUGUGAAAUCCCCGGGCUCAACCUGGGAACUGCAUUCGAAACUGGCAGGCUUGAGUCUUGUAGAGGGGGGUAGAAUUCCAGGUGUAGCGGUGAAAUGCGUAGAGAUCUGGAGGAAUACCGGUGGCGAAGGCGGCCCCCUGGACAAAGACUGACGCUCAGGUGCGAAAGCGUGGGGAGCAAACAGGAUUAGAUACCCUGGUAGUCCACGCCGUAAACGAUGUCUACUUGGAGGUUGUGCCCUUGAGGCGUGGCUUCCGGAGCUAACGCGUUAAGUAGACCGCCUGGGGAGUACGGCCGCAAGGUUAAAACUCAAAUGAAUUGACGGGGGCCCGCACAAGCGGUGGAGCAUGUGGUUUAAUUCGAUGCAACGCGAAGAACCUUACCUGGUCUUGACAUCCACAGAACUUUCCAGAGAUGGAUUGGUGCCUUCGGGAACUGUGAGACAGGUGCUGCAUGGCUGUCGUCAGCUCGUGUUGUGAAAUGUUGGGUUAAGUCCCGCAACGAGCGCAAC
rnacentral:rRNA from 1 species